rnacentral:rRNA from 1 species
AGAGAGAGACAUGCGCGCAUAUCAAUAAGCGGAGGAAAAGAAACUAACAAGGAUUCCCUUAGUAACGGCGAGUGAAGCGGGAAGAGCUCAAAUUUGAAAUCUUCAAGGUUCUACCUUGACGAAUUGUAGUUUAUAGAAGUGUUUUCUGUUAGUGGAGUGGCAAAAGUUCUUUGGAAUAGGACAUCAUAGAGGGUGAGAAUCCCGUAUUUAGGUCAUUCCUCCUAGCGUUGUGAUACACUUUCAACGAGUCGGAUUGUUUGGGAAUGCAGUCCAAAAUGGGUGGUAAAUUUCAUCUAAAGCUAAAUAUUGGCGAGAGACCGAUAGCGAACAAGUACCGUGAGGGAAAGAUGAAAAGAACUUUGAAAAGAGAGUUAAACAGUACGUGAAAUUGUCAAAAGGGAAGCGUUUGACACCAGUGUUGUUUUUCCGAAAAUCAAUUACGAAUGUUUUAGUUUUUGAGGAGUUAUGACUUCAUCGGCUUGCUCCUUUCUUUACUGAAACUUUCUUAAUGCACUUUUCGGUUAACAAGUCAACAUCAAUUUCUUUUGUUGUAAAAGGGUAUGAGGAAGGUGGCUUUCUUUUCGGAGAAAGUGUUUAUAGCCUUGUGCCUCCUGCAAUCGGAGAGAUUGAGGUCUGCAGCGUAGAUCCUUCGGGGUUAGAUACGUUAGAUGCUAAGUUAUAGCUUUUCAUAGACAACUUGUUGACUAUGUUUAGUCUUGUAGCUUACUCGCUGACGCUAUUUUACCUACGCUUAGGAUGUUGAUAGUCACAGCGUGUAC